AAGGGGUAAAUUAAUAAAUUUAUAAAUUAAUAAAAGUAUUUUUAAUAUUGAAUGGGGGUUUAAGUAUUAAAAUAGAAAAAAUUUAUAGAUUAAUAGGGAAUUAGUAUUGUAGAAGAAAUUUGAAAUAUUUAUGAAAAUAAAUUUAUUUAAAAGUAAAUUUUAUUUGUUGUAUCUUGUGUAUCAGAGUUUAUUAAUUAUGAAUAUAAAUUUUCUCGAAUUUAAAAGAGAUAAUUAAUUAAAAAAUUUAUUGUGGCAUAAAUAUUUUUAAUAAUUAAUUUGAAAUGAAAUGUUAAUCGUUUUUAAAUAUAUCUAGUUUUUUUAGAAAAAAAUUUAAUUUUUUAUUUAUUUUUAAAAUAAUUAAUUAAUUAAUUAUUUUAAUAUUAAAUGUAAUAUUUUAAGGGAUAAGCUUUAAAUUAAAUUUUUAUAAUAAAAAUUAAUUAUUAAAAGAUUUUAUAAUUUAUAUUGUUAAUAAAUUUUAUUUUAUUAUAAAUAACUUUUAAUUAAAUAAAAUUUUAUAUAUUAUUUAAUUUUUUAUAAAAAAAUAUUUUUUAAUUUAAUAAAUAUAGAUAUAAUGAUAAAAUUAGUAUAAAAUAAAAAUAAAAGAAAUUAAUUUUUUAAAAAUUAAUUUAAAAGAAUUCGGCAAAUAUUUAUAUUCACUUGUUUAUCAAAAACAUGUCUUUUUGAGAAUAAUUUAAAGUCUAAUCUGCCCACUGAUAUUAUAUUAAAGGGCUGCAGUAUAUUGACUGUACAAAGGUAGCAUAAUCAUUAGUCUCUUAAUUGGUGACUUGUAUGAAAGAUUGGAUGAGAUAUAAACUGUUUCUAAAUUAAGUUUAGAAUUUAAUUUUUUAGUUAAAAAGCUAAAAUAAAUUUAAAAGACGAGAAGACCCUAUAGAGUUUUAUAAUUUUAUUAAUUUGUUUUAUUUAUAAUAUAUAGUAAAUAAAAUUAUUAAAAUUAUUUUAUUGGGGUGAUAAAAAAAUUAAAUUAACUUUUUUUAAGUUAAAAACAUAGAUAAGUGAAUAAAAUGAUCCAAAAUUAUUUUGAUUAUAAGAAAAAAUUACCUUAGGGAUAACAGCGUAAUUUUUUUUUUUAGUACAAAUAAGAAAAAGAGUUUGCGACCUCGAUGUUGGAUUAAGAUAAAAUUUAAAUGCAAAAGUUUAAAAUUUUUGAUCUGUUCGAUCAUUAAAAUCUUACAUGAUCUGAGUUCAAACCGGUGUGAGCCAGGUUGGUUUCUAUCUUUAAAUAAUAAAAAUAUUUUAGUACGAAAGGAUCAAAUAUUUAAAUUAAAUUUAUAUAUUGAAUUUUAAUAAUUAUUUUGUA
rnacentral:rRNA from 1 species